CGCGAGCUUCGGCACGGCCCCGCCCCCGGGGCUCUCCAGCCCGCCCUGUCCCCUCCCCCCGCUCCCCACUCCUUCCCGUUCCCCCUCUUCCUCUUUGUCCCCUCCCCCUCUCUCGGUCACCAGCGCCCUCCGGAGCAGCCUCGUCCUGAACGUCUAGCGAGGAGCCAGCACGCCUUGCGGGGCCUUGGCUGUUUUAGGUGGCGACACGGACCGAGGAGAAAAUCGCUGUUACCCAUCUGUGGAUAUUCUGCGGGGAGAUUGAAAGAAAACCACUGCUUCCUAUUCAUUGCCUGUCGUCAUCGCUGCCUUCACACCCUCCAGCGCUGGCGAGCCGGCAACUUUGAGUAAUUCCCCAAGAUACUGCCCAGAGUAUUUCGCGAGACAAGUCAGCCUCUUAGGACUCGCACAGUGACCCCAACCCGCUGCUCCCUUUCGGGUUCCUUUCCUGCAAAUGACACUGCAUUGCUUGCA